AACGAACGCUGGCGGCAUGCCUAACACAUGCAAGUCGAACGAAACCUUCGGGUCUAGUGGCGCACGGGUUCGUAACGCGUGGGAACCUGCCCUUAGGUUCGGAAUAACUCCCCGAAAGGGGUGCUAAUACCGGAUAAUGUCUUCGGACCAAAGAUUUAUCGCCUUUGGAUGGGCCCGCGUUGGAUUAGCUGGUUGGUAGGGUAAAAGCCUACCAAGGCGACGAUCCAUAGCUGGUCUGAGAGGAUGAUCAGCCACACUGGGACUGAGACACGGCCCAGACUCCUACGGGAGGCAGCAGUGGGGAAUAUUGGACAAUGGGCGAAGGCCUGAUCCAGCAAUGCCGCGUGAGUGAUGAAGGCCUUAGGGUUGUAAAGCUCUUUUAACCGGGAUGAUAAUGACAGUACCGGGAGGAUAAGCUCCGGCUAACUCCGUG
rnacentral:rRNA from 1 species